GGGCACUUGGCACAGUUGGUAGCGCGCACGCUUCGCAUUUCGAAAAUGCGUGAGGUCGUGGGUUCAAUUCCCACAGUGUCCA